rnacentral:rRNA from 1 species
UAAAAUUUAUAAAAUUAGGUAGUAAAGAAAUUUCUGAAACCUAAAGAAUUUGGCGGUAUUUUAAAUAAUUGGAGGAACCUGUUAUUUAAUUGACAAUCCACAACAUAUCUUACCUAAAUUUUAUUUGUAUAUCGUCGUUUUGAUAAUAUUUAAAAAUAAUAAUCAAUUUUAAUUAAUUUUAGAAUUCAGAUCAAGGUGCAGUAUAUUUAGGUUAUAAUGGGUUACAAUAUAUUUAUAUAUUACGAAUAUAAAAUUGAAAUUAUAUUAAAGGUGGAUUCAAAAGUAAAAUUAAAUUAAAAAGUUAAUUUGAUUAAUAAUUUAAAAUAUGC